GGGGGGGAGGGGGUUGGAGACCAUUAUUCCAUUAUUUAGCACCUCAUAACUUGGUUCAUUGUAAGGUGUUUUCUGGCAGAAGGAAUACAUUUUGAAAUGGCACUGAGAAAUAGAAAGCAACCUAGUCGUGUAAUAUUGUAUCCUGGCAGACUCGUACACAAAUGUCAGUAUUCUGUUUUUUUAAAUUUCCUAAGUAUUUAUGACUGACGGUAAUGUACAUUGUUUAUACACUUAUAGGAUUAUUAAUAUAUUGAUAACCUUUGUUUUUGAAUAUUUAUGUGAAAUUUAUUAAUUUAUAUGAAUUGUAAAAAUCUUAAGGCUACAGAUGUAGGCAAUAAAAAAAGAAUUGUUGAAUUGGGACACUCUGUAUUCUUGAAAGAAAUAUUGCUCAAAUUUAUUCAACAACCACUAUAGAUUUAUUUUAUGAUAUGACCAUUAUUUAAAUAAUUCUUUUCAAACAUUUUGCAAUUUUCAAAUUGUUUUUUCUUCAAAAUACUGUUCUUUUCACUUUUGUUAAAAAUGUACAUGAUAAUUCUGGGGUUUUUUUCCAUUGACAACCAUUAAUUCAAUUUUGUCCAAAAACAAUUCUCAGUUAUUUAUUUUUUCUAUCCAAAUUCUAAUUGUAAUUUUGUUCCCCAGAGUUAAUUCCCAUGUAUUGAGUGCUUCCAAACAUUUCUAGUCAGGGACUAAUGUCUUGUUGUUUUUUUUUCCCCCAAAGAUUUUAAAAUCUUCAUUCAACCUGGUGAAUAUUACUCCUCAUUAUGUAAAUAUAUAAGUUGAUGCUAGUUACAAACAGGAAUGUCUCAAGAAAACUUGAUUAUUUAUUACUCCUGCAAAUCAUUGUCUGGUCCAUAUGAUUUUGUAUCAUUGAUUUUGAUUGGCAAAUGAGAUUAUGGGAUGCUGAUUUCGAUUGGCUAAAGAGAUUAUUUGAUUCCAUACAUAAUAUUUGUUCUUUUGCAAUAAUCACUUCAACAUCAAGCACAUGACAACAACUCUGAAAAUGGGAAGGGGGGGGGGGGUUAAUUUUAAAAAAACCCCACUCAUAACAAGCUUUAAAAAAUUGUGAAAGAAAACAAAAAAGAGUUGGAAGGGGGCUGGACCCACCUUCAAAUGAUGUGAACACUGUUGAUUCAGAAGUAUUCUCUGUACUCAAUGGGGGACUAAUCCAAGUUGUUUUUCCCUGAAUAACGACCCCUGGUCUUUGUUGGGUUUCCCUAAGUCGCAGCCUUUGUCGACAUUAUUUACUUUAAAACUUCUGAAAAUGUAUUCUAAAUUCUAAAAAAUCGUAAAUUAAUCUAGUUUAUGAAAUAAUUAUCAAUAUUGUAUCAUGUCCUGUUAAUGUUUUAAAAAUCUCUCUCUCUUUCUUCGUAUGUGUAUUAGAUAUUUUACAAAAACUUCGUAUUCAGGGCAUCCAUAACUAAAUUUUUGAAAGUAGUUGCCGUCUUCCAAAACACUUGUAAAUUGGAAAAAAAAGAAAAGUAAGGAGAUUUAUAAACAUUAUUCUUUUUAUAAAAAUUUCAUUUAUUCAGAAAAUAUCUUUUUUUUUAAGCAUUUAAAUUUUUUAAACAAGUGAGAAUGGGUUCAACUUGGCCCAACAGUGAGUUACUUUUCAGUAAUUUAUUCUAAAGAAAUGUUUAAUGUUUUGUGCCGUUUUAAUGUUGAUUGUUAAAAAGGUCUGAUAUUUGAUAAAUUGUUUAAUAUUAAAAAGAUGUACAGCGUAAUACAAGUAAUGAUUUACCAAUAUAUGUAUUAAAUGUGUAAAAGUCAACAAUGGCAUGUUAACUCGUCGUGAGACGUGAACAUAAUGUGUUAUUUAAUUACAAAUGGUUAAUCCAAAUGUAGCAAAACUUUUAGAAGAUACUGUAGGCAUAUGUGGAAGUGUCAUUUGAGAUGAACUGUAGUCUGCUUUUUUGUGCCUAUGAUGUUUUUAUAAUAUGUAUAAUUUACAUGAUAUAGCAUAUAUAUAUAGUUACAUUGUUUAUAUUUCUUGUUGAAAUACCAAGUUAAAUAUAUCAUGUUUAUAUUUGUCAAAAAAUAAAUGAAGUCUUUCCUUUUUGCUAGAGAAGUAUUGUAAUUCUGCCAUUCAAUAAAUUUAUGUAUUUUACAGAAAU
rnacentral:sRNA from 1 species